GCUCAACUUUCAUCUGAAUUAUUAAAGCUCGCAAUCAAAUUGAUUUUGUUAAUUAGUGUCGCACUAUUCGUAGUUGAGAAGAGUCAACAUCGUCCUUGAGAGCUUUUUUUUUGUUUAUAAUUAUUAAAUUAAAACCUUAAAUGAAUAAAAGAAUCUCAACAAUGGCCGUUAACGUUUAUUCCACAAAUGUAACGACGGACAAUCUGUCCAGACAUGACAUGCUUUCCUGGGUAAACGAUUGCCUACAAGCACAAUUUUCAAAAAUUGAGGAACUGUGUACAGGUGCCGCAUAUUGUCAAUUCAUGGACAUGCUGUUUCCUGGGUCAGUGCCAAUGAAACGUGUCAAGUUCCGUACAAAUCUCGAACAUGAAUACAUUCAGAAUUUUAAAAUUCUGCAGGCUUCUUUUAAAAAGAUGGUAGUCGACAAAAUUAUACCAAUUGAUAAACUAAUUAAAGGUCGAUUCCAAGAUAAUUUCGAAUUCCUGCAAUGGUUUAAGAAAUUCUUCGAUGCCAAUUACGAUGGUCGUGACUAUGAUGCCAGCGGCGCAAGAGAUGGUGCGCCCAUGGGCUUUGGUUCAGGAUCUGCACCUAAAAAUAAUCUCGGUGCUAGUUCAAAUCCUACUCCCUCGUUUAGAAAACCAAUGGCUGCGCCAUCAUCACAAGGAUCAAGUCGCCCUGCUGCAACGCGGCCGAUUGUGUCUAAGGUCCAAGCACGUCCACCAGUAAGUAGUUCUCGGGUUAUAUCACAGCCUACAUCUUAUGGUGCAUCUAAGAAGGCUGCUGAACCAGUGAACCAAGUAUCAAAUCAACAAAUUGAGGAGCUGUCAAAUCAGAUGAUGGAUCUGAGACUGAAUAUGGAAGGCCUUGAAAAGGAAAGAGAUUUCUACUUUAGCAAACUGAGGGACAUUGAAAUUUUAUGUCAAGAUGCUGAUGAGGGAGAACCCCAUCCUUUAGUGCAAAAGAUCCUAGAUAUUUUGUACGCAACAGAGUUUCGUAAACUGGUCGGCCGUUACGUACCGACUUUAAGAUCAACCAGAAGAUGUCGUUGGUGAUGGCUUUGCUCCACCAGAUGAAAUACCACCCGAGGAUGAGGAAUAUUAAACAAUAUAAAUUAAAAGACAAAAUUCAAUUUAAAACAAAAAAAUAUAAACCAACUCUCCUGCAUAGAAACAUGACAUGACAAAGGAUUGUUACUAAAUCUAUACAAAUGAAAACAAACAAACAAAAAAUAAGUGAAAUAACUGAUUAAAAAAAAACAAAAAACCUAAAACAAAAUUUUAAAUCCAAAAAGAAAACAAAAAGAAAGCGAUUAUAACGAAUAAAAAAGAAAUAGAAAAAUAGAAACCCUAUUCCAAAUUGAUUAUCUACCUAAAGAUCAAAAGUAAAAACAUCCUAAAACCCCUUCUGGCAGAAGUAGCAGCAGCGGCAAACGGCAGUCUUACGUAGGCUUUAAACAUAAAAUUUAACAUGGAUAUCUGCUCAUCGUUGGAUUUAAUAAAUUUUAUUUAUAAGUUUUAAGAAUAUGACUUAUUUUUAAGAUAGUUGAUUUAUUUAGGUACAUGAUUUACAUUUUACAUAACAAACAUACUCAAAUUAUCACUUCUACUAUCGCUACCUUUAAAUUUUAAUAAUAUUCCGUAAUAUUAUUUUAAGUUUCAAUUAUUUUUUUUUUUUUAAGCAAAACUUGCAUUUAUAUUUUACUUACAUUUUUUUUUAAUUGUUCUUGGAGCCUGAAUAGGUUAUAAUUAUAAAAGCUAAAAAGUUGUCAGCUUCAGAAUAUUGCUUUGAAAAGUCUUGUUGAUGACUCUGGGAUUUCUUCUAGUUUUUCGUAAUAUAAUAAAUGAAAAAGUUGAUUUAAAUCGAAAAACCUGGUCGACAACUCAAACAGAACUGUUGUCGGCAGCCUGACUUAACAAGCUUGACUCAUUUGUCAUCCAAAUUUCGCAAUCACAGUUGAAAUAUUUAUGCAAAAUUCUCCAAACUGCGCAAUCUGAAUGCAAUAUUUCUAAUUUAAAAGCGUAAACGAAGUUGUCUUUUGUGGUUUUGAUUUUAGGGAUUUUGUAAGACAAGUUCAGAUUGCCUAUGGAAAUUUAGAUUGAUUUUUAUUCAAACAAGAUAAAUUCAUUCAUGGUUCUUUUUGCUUUCAGCAGUAAUUUUAACUUCACGGUAACCUUAAUCCUUUGGCAAUGUUUUAACGAAUUUUCACGCCAUAUGAUAAAAACAUUGGUGAUUAAAGUCAUAUCCCAUUUCCAUUAUACUCUCUUAAAAAGCAAAAACAUAACUUCAGUAAUUUCAACAAUUCAAAAUAAAUGUUGAUUCAAGAAAUCCCAUUUACGGCAUCUUUUCAUAUACUUUUGAUAUUGCAGAUAAUUUAUUUAUAUUCUCAAAUCGACCAUGGAAACCCUAAACUGAGAAACUUCUUUUCAUACAACAUUAAUAAAAACAAAACAACACCAUUACUUUGAAUGCAAUCAAAACGUUUUAUUAAUGAACACAUACUAAAUACAAUAUUACUUGUAGUUCAAUCCUUUGUUGCCUUUAUUGCAUUGCAAAUAUUCAAAUAAUUAUGAUGUAAUUCAUUACUAAUAAAUAGUUAUCCAGAUAAUAAAGUGCUUUAUAUUUUUAUAUAAAACAUUAAAUACACACAAUCUAUCUACACUAACUACUUCUUGUUUUUGUUACUUAUAUAACCGAAUUCUUUUUUUUUUUAUUUUUUAAUAUAAAUAUACAUAUAUCAUCUAUAUCAUCGAAUAAACUUAAAAAAAUAACAAUUUUUACGUUUAUUACAACAAAAAAAAGUUAAAACAAGUAUUUUAUAUUAAAUAAAAACAAAAGUUUAUGUAUAUUCUUAUUUGUAUAUAUUAAAUACACAAAAGAGAUAUUAAUAGUGUAAAAACAAACAUUUAUAUGAUAAAGGAAAAAUAAAAAUACGUAGGCAUAGGUUCAAGAUACCUAGUUUUUUUUUCUCCAAAAUAUCGAUGGAACAAAAAUGCUAUAUUAAAUAUACUCUAAUAAAUUUAUUGUCGUAUUUUAUUAGAGCGCGAAAUAAAAUUAAAAUUUAUUGUAAUGUAUACACUUAUACUAUAUUAAAAAAAAAAUAAGUAAAUAAAAUAAAUAUAUUAUAUUUAUCGUUGCUUGGAUUAA